CCUGCUGGAGUCUCGGGCGGGACUCGGCAGUCUCUGCAGCUCUGCGAUGUGGACACAUCUCCUCCUCCUCUCCUCCUCCACCUCGAAGCCUCUGCCUGCCCUACGGAGAGCAUCCUUGGGAGAGAAGAUGGGCUCAAUUGUGACAUCGGGUGACAACUUGUUAUUGACAACCACAAGUGUAAGUUCACCUUAUGCAUGCAUAUGUAUUUUUCUGAUUAUUGCAGAGGUUGAUAUUUUCACCCACUCUUUACAACAAUCAAAUGACCUCUCAACUUACUUUGGUGUGACAGCUACCAUUCACUGCCAUUCCAUUGCUGGUGGACAGAAGCAGGAUUGGAGAUGUACCGGACUAUUCUGGUCAGCAGAUGCAGUUUGAUGACAUCAUUUGAUGAGACUUCUGGAGGACUCUAGUAGGGUUGAGUGUAAGAUGUCUUUGGUCUGCAUAUGGUUAUGGGGGCAUAGUCAGACAUUCCUCCAAAGACACACAUGCAGAACUCUGAUAUUAUACUCAACUAUGUAGGAUCUUGGCUUUGGAGUGGUUCUGUUCUGCUAAUGGCUCUUCUUACUCAUAUUUUGCCAACAUCUCUUAGACUGUACAGUUGUAUUGAACUGUUACAUUUCUUUCAUUUGUAUUACAUGUAUGAAUUGUAUUGUAUGUUCCUAACUAUGCGCUUGCAUUGCCUUGGGAAGGCUUGCCUGCAAACUCAGAAUUGAAAUAUUUGAAAUAAAUGAAUAAACAUUUUAAAAAAUAGACAUAAA